rnacentral:lncRNA from 1 species
GAGCUAAAUAUAAUUUUUUUAAUUUUCUUAAUUUGUUUAAUAUCUCAAUUUCUAUUUCUAUGUCAGUACGCCUACCUCAUCUCUACCAAACAUUAUUUUUGAAGUAACUCCACCAUGCAACUUAAUAAAAUUAAAGAUUAGCUACUAACCCUGUCAUGAAAUUAUUUAGAGUUGAGGUAGAGGUACGGACCUAGGAAAUAGAAAUUGAGACAGCCAACAAAAUACAGUUCGAUGAUUGUUAAUUAGAAAUAUAAAAUUUAUUAAACUCUAAUUUGUUAAAAAUGGUAUGUGCUUGAAGAUUGGAGCUCGAAGAACAUAAGAUUUGCCUCGGCACAUGUUAAGUUGACGAACUGAACAUCAGUUAGAAGCGGAUACUUGAAAAGCUAAGUUGUCUAUUCUUGAGCUAAAUGUUAACUUUCUGAAUUUCUAUUUCUAUGUUAGUACUUCUACCUCAUCUCUACCAAACAUUACUUUUGAAGUAACUCCACCAUGCAACUUAAUAAAAUUAAAGAUUAGCUACUAACCCUAUCAUGAAAUUAUUUAGAGUUGAGGUAGAGGUACGGACCUAGGAAAUAGAAAUUGGGACAGGGAACAAAAUAUAGUUUGAUGAUUGUUAAUUAGAAAUAUAAAAUUUAUUAAACUCUAAUUUGUUAAAAAUGGUAUGUGCUUGAAGAUUGGAGCUCGAAGAACAUAAGAUUUGCCUCGGCACAUGUUAAGUUGAAAACUGAUCAUCAGUUAGAAGCCGAUACUUGAAAAGCUAAGUUGUCUAUUCUUGAGCUAAAUAUAACUUUUUUUAUUUUCUUAUUUUGUUAACUUUCUGAAUUUCUAUUAAUAUAUGUUAGUACUUGUACCUCAUCUCUACCAAACAUUACUUUUGAAGUAACUCCACCAUGCAACUUAAUAAAAUUAAAGAUUAGCUACUAACCUUAUCAUGAAAUUAUUUAGAGUUGAGGUAGAGGUACGGACCUAGGAAAUAGAAAUUGAGACAGUGAACACAAUAUAGUUUGAUGAUUGUUAAUUAGAAAUAGAAAAUUUAUAAACUUUAAUUUGUAUAUUUGUGACUAGAUAACCCGGAGUCAUUAAGUGCGACGGAUGGAGGUUAGCUUUGGAGCGUCUUACUGUGAGUAGUAUAU